rfam:Schistosoma mansoni, Puerto Rico, WGS project CABG01000000 data, contig: 0138
AUCCAGCUGAAGAGUCCCAAAUAGGACGAAACGCAUGUCCUGGAU